AGCCUUUCAAUACGUACGCGCACGCAGAUCGGGCUGGCAACGGGAACCAGAUAGUGACACAUACCGCAUGCGCUAAAUGAAAAAAAACGUUAAAAACAUACUUCGAAAGCUCGACGCAGUGUCGAAACCUCAGAAUCGAGCGGCCCAUCACUAGCCAGGGGUCGUGAGAACAAAGUGGACGCUGGGAGGCGUGGAAUGUCGGGCUGCUUCGCCGGGUAGUGAGCUUCGCAGUUUCGGGCAGCGUCCUCUCUUCUCGCACUGUUUGUGACACUUCAAGUGCCCCGUCGGCUCCUGGAAGAGUGGAAAUCUUUGGGAAUGAGUGUAAUCGGCGCCAUCGAAGCACGACUCCGUUUGUAAAUUGCCAUGCACGACUACUCACUGUCCUUACUUAAGAGUGGAUGAUGGCCGGUCAGAAGCGUCAUAAGUGUCAAAUCCUCUAACGUCAUGAAGAUUGCACCUCUUCCGUCUCAGCCUUCAUUUAAAAACAGCGAUGCCAGGAAGCUGACAUUCAAUUAGAAGCCUGCAAAUGUGAAAAGACAACUCUCUCCAGUAAGCCACCCUUUUCUGUGAAGAAGAUGAUGGACUCACCCAGUCCCUUUAGCCAUUUUUAUCUGGUUUUGUUUCAUGUUCUUUUAUAGGUUUGUCUGUUACACAAAGAUUAAUGAGAAAGCAGGAACACUUGAGUCGGAGAUGGUUGCGCCAUGAGAAUGUGUUUCUUAAACUUCAUUAUUUUUUUUUGUUACAUAUUGAGCUUUUUUGUUUUGAUGAACAUUUUGGACCACUCACCCAGACAUCGAUUUCACCUUCUGAUCCUUUCAUAAACAGACUUUUACUACCUUAUUCCUAUGUAGUACAACCCUAUAUAGAGGAGGAGCGAUCAAUGGGAGAAACCAAAGGAUGAAAUAAAAACAAAAAAGAAACCACCAAAGCCCCUCCAGCAGCAUGGGACUGGUUUCACAUCUCCACAAAAACAGAACCUGAAGCAGACUUUCUGAUUCCCCUUCCCACUUUCUCUCCCAACCUGGGAUCCAGUGGAUUUGUAGUAGGGAGUCUUGAAAUCCAAAAUGGACUGGGAGCCUAAUUGGUACUUGAGUUUUGCCCACCACAAUAGUCUGUGGCCUCCUUUUCUUGCAUACUCAUGUAAUGUUCCCUACCAAUUUCUAAGUAUUUCAGUAUAUGACUGAUGCUGCCCUGUCCGCUGAUUCUCUCUGAUACGCCUCCACCCUCAUUGUUCUCCUGACGCUCACCAGCUGUGCUUGUUUACUCUGCAGGUGCAGUACUUGGAUGAAAUUUCAUUUAAAAUUUAAAGUUGUGAGUGUUGUAAUGAAAGGUGUGACAUUUCACCCUGUUUUUAACUGAAGACUAAACAGUCACAAAGUUCUGAUGAAUAGAGAUGUUGGAUAUUGUUUGGUGCUGAGAGCUCCUUCUCUCUCUGCUGCAGGCAAAAAAAUGGCCAGUUUUCUGUGAUUUUAGGCUGAUGAAAUCAGAAGGGUUCAAAGGUAAACCUGGGGGUUGGUGUGCAGAACUGGCACUCCAGCCACCAUUAAAAACCUCCCAGUGUUCCAUUCCAUCUGAACUAGUGUGGUGCUGAGGUGUCACGCGUUGCAUGGCUGCACUCGGGUCCUAAUGGAUCCUGAGUUGGUUGGCGUAUGCUCCUAAACACCAAACCCAAACUGAUGCUUGUAAAAUCAGAAGGGUUGAGAGGUAGGUGAAUUGGUCUUCUCCCUAGCUGAAGGUGAAAAGGAAGAUGUCUCCAUGUUACACCCAAAUCUUUCUUCCAGUAAACUCCUGAAAUUCUGCACCACAAGAAGUAAACUUAAUGUAAGCAAUGGAAACCAGUGUAGGAUUUAGGUAUGGGUGACAUGGGCAGCCACCCACGGGGGUGCAGGGCACA